UACAGAGGGUGCAAGCGUUGUUCGGAAUUAUUGGGCGUAAAGCGCGUGUAGGCGGCUUUGCAAGUCGGGUGUGAAAGCCCUCGGCUCAACCGAGGAAGUGCGCCCGAAACUGCAGAGCUUGAGUACCGGAGAGGAUGGCGGAAUUCCCCAAGUAGAGGUGAAAUUCGUAGAUAUCGGGAGGAACACCAGUGGCGAAGGCGACUACCUGGCCUGUUCUUGACGCUGAGGCGCGAAAGCGUGGGGAGCGAACAGG
rnacentral:rRNA from 1 species